AUUGAACGCUGGCGGCAUGCCUUACACAUGCAAGUCGAACGGUAACGGGCCUUCGGGUGCCGACGAGUGGCGAACGGGCGAGUAAUACAUCGGAACGUGCCCGAUCGUGGGGGAUAACGAGGCGAAAGCUUUGCUAAUACCGCAUACGAUCUACGGAUGAAAGCAGGGGACCGCAAGGCCUUGCGCGGAUGGAGCGGGCGAUGGCAGAUUAGGUAGUUGGUGGGAUAGAAGCUUACCAAGCCGACGAUCUGUAGCUGGUCUGAGAGAAUGAUCAGCCACACUGGGACUGAGACACGGCCCAGACUCCUACGGGAGGCAGCAGUGGGGAAUUUUGGACAAUGGGCGCAAGCCUGAUCCAGCCAUGCCGCGUGCAGGAUGAAGGCCUUCGGGUUGUAAACUGCUUUUGUACGGAACGAAAAGCCUUCUUCUAAUACAGGAGGGUCAUGACGGUACCGUAAGAAUAAGCACCGGCUAACUACGUGCCAGCAGCCGCCGUAA
rnacentral:rRNA from 1 species